AAGCGCCUAUGACCAGACUUGGGCCCGGUGAAUCAUCCAGCGUUCUCGCUGGUGCACUUUGCCGGGCACAGGCCAGCACCAGUUUGUCUUGGGGGAAAAAGGCUUUGGGAAUGUGGCUCCCUCGGGAGUGUUAUAGACCAUUGCAUAAUACCCUGGGACGGACUGAGGUUCGCGCAUCUGCAAGGAUGCUGGCGUAAUGGUCAUCAGCGA
rnacentral:rRNA from 1 species